rnacentral:rRNA from 1 species
GACGAACGCUGGCGGCGUGCUUAACACAUGCAAGUCGAACGGAAAGGCCCUGCUUUUGUGGGGUGCUCGAGUGGCGAACGGGUGAGUAACACGUGAGUAACCUGCCCUUGACUUUGGGAUAACUUCAGGAAACUGGGGCUAAUACCGGAUAGGAGCUCCUGCUGCAUGGUGGGGGUUGGAAAGUUUCGGCGGUUGGGGAUGGAUUCGCGGCUUAUCAGUUUGUUGGUGGGGUAGUGGCUUACCAAGCCUUUGACGGGUAGCCGGCCUGAGAGGGGGACCGGCCACAUUGGGACUGAGAGACGGCCCAGACUCCUACGGGAGGCAGCAGGGGAGAAUAUUGCACAAUGGGCGGGAGCCUGAGACAGCAACGCCGCGGGCGGGAUGACGGCCUUCGGGUUGUAAACCGCUUUCGCCUGAGACGAAGCGUGAGUGACGGUAAUGGGUAAAGAAGCACCGGCUAACUACGUG